rnacentral:lncRNA from 1 species
CCCUACUCGCCGGAGCCGGAGCCUGCUCUAGGCAGCUGCAACAAAAACCCGGAGCCGGAGCUGUGGCCUGAUUCGGAUCGGACCUGCCUUAUAGUGCAACAGCAUCUCUCACAGACGUGAACAGCAGCGGUAGAACACUGGUGACGGAACAAAGACGUCGCUGGGACGAUGGUUCUGGGACUACCAAAGAGACAGGGAGGAGACCAAAAAUUAUUGACAAAUACAGCGAGAAGUGAGAGCAACGCACUACUUGCCUACAUCCGUGCCAGUCAUGUAUAUUAAAAGGGUGUAUGGAAGACUGCAGGCUAUUGGAGUUACCUUUCUGCAGACUUAAGGAGCAUGGCAUGA